rnacentral:rRNA from 1 species
UCCGGUUGAUCCUGCCRGCGGCCACCGCUAUUGGGUUUCGCUUAAGCCAUGCGAGUCGAGAGGGUUCGGCCCUCGGCAGACUGCUCAGUAACACGUGGAGAACUUGCCCUACGCUGGAGGAUAAUCUCGGGAAACUGAGGACAAUACUCCAUAGCCUAUCCUUCCUGGAACGGUGGAUAGGUGAAAGCUCCGGCGGCGUAGGAUAGCUCUGCGGCCUAUCAGGUUGUAGCGAGGGUAACGUCCUCGCUAGCCUACGACGGGUAUGGGUGUUGGGAGACAUCGCCCAGAGAUGGAUUCUGAGACACGAAUCCAGGCCCUACGGGGCGCAGCAGGCGCGAAAACUGCACAAUGUGGGCAACCACGAUGCGGGAAACCCAAGUGCCAGCACUAUGUGUUGGCUGUCCUCGACUGUUUGUAGGUCGGGAAGAAAGAGCUGGGUAAGACGGGUGCCAGCCGCCGCGGUAAUACCCGCAGCUCAAGUGGUGGUCAUUAUUAUUGGGCCUAAAGCGUCCGUAGCUGGCCUGUUAGAUGCCUGGGUAAAUCGAUGCGCUCAACGUAUCGACUUCCGGGUAGACCGGCAGGCUCGGGACCGGGAGAGGCGUGAGCUACUCGAGGGGUAGGGGUAAAAUCCUGUAAUCCUUCGGGGAGGACCAGUGGCGAAGGCGUCACGCUAGAACGGCUCCGACAGUGAGGGACGAAGCCCUGGGGCGCAAACCGGAUUAGAUACCCGGGUAGUCCAGGGUGUAAACGCUGCAGACUUGGUGUCGCUGAUCCUACGAGGGUUGGCGGUGCCGUAGAGAAGUUGUUUAGUCUGCCGCCUGGGGAGUACGGUCGCAAGACUGAAACUUAAAGGAAUUGGCGGGGGAGCACCGCAACGCGUGGAGUGUGCGGUUUAAUUGGAKUCAACGCCGGRA